GAUUCAUUAGCUCAGUAGGUAGAGCACAUCCCUUUUAAGGAUGGGGUCCUGGGUUCGAGCCCCAGAUGGAUCACUA
rnacentral:tRNA from 1 species